GAUGAACGCUGGCGGCGUGCCUAAUACAUGCAAGUCGAGCGAACGGACGAGAAGCUUGCUUUUCUGAUGUUAGCGGCGGACGGGUGAGUAACACGUGGAUAACCUACCUAUAAGACUGGGAUAACUUCGGGAAACCGGAGCUAAUACCGGAUAAUAUUUUGAACCGCAUGGUUCAAAAGUGAAAUACGGUCUUGCUGUCACUUAUAGAUGGAUCCGCGCUGCAUUAGCUAGUUGGUAAGGUAACGGCUUACCAAGGCAACGAUGCAUAGCCGACCUGAGAGCGUGAACGGGCACACUGGAACUGAGACACGGUCACGACUCGUACGAGAGGCAGCAGUAGGGAAUCCGGGACGCUGGGGGGAGGCCUUAUGGGGAAACGCCGCGUGAGUGAUGAAGGUCUUCGGAUCGUAAAACGCUGUUAUUAGGGAAGAACAUAUGUGUACGUAACUGUGAACAACAUGACGGUACCUAAUCAGAAAGCCACGGCUAACUACGUG
rnacentral:rRNA from 1 species